UACGGAGGGGGCUAGCGUUGUUCGGAAUUACUGGGCGUAAAGCGCACGUAGGCGGCUUUGUAAGUUAGAGGUGAAAGCCCGGGGCUCAACUCCGGAAUUGCCUUUAAGACUGCAUCGCUAGAAUUGUGGAGAGGUAAGUGGAAUUCCGAGUGUAGAGGUGAAAUUCGUAGAUAUCGGAAGGAACAUCAGUGGCGAAAGCGACUUCCUGGACCAGUACCGACGUCAGGCACGAAAGCGUGGGGAGCAAACAGG
rnacentral:rRNA from 1 species